rnacentral:rRNA from 1 species
UACGUAGGGUGCGAGCGUUAAUCGGAAUUACUGGGCGUAAAGCGUGCGCAGGCGGUUCGUUAAGUUCGUUGUGAAAGCCCCGGGCUCAACCUGGGAACUGCAAUGGAAACUGGCGAGCUUGAGUGUGGCAGAGGGGGGUGGAAUUCCGCGUGUAGCAGUGAAAUGCGUAGAGAUGCGGAGGAACACCGAUGGCGAAGGCAGCCCCCCUGGGCCAACACUGACGCUCAGGCACGAAAAGCGUGGGGAGCAAACAGG